CGCGUAGGCGGCCUUCUAAGUCAGACGUGAAAUCCCUCGGCUCAACCGGGGAACUGCGUCUGAGACUGGAAGGCUUGAAUCCGGGAGAGGGAUGUGGAAUUCCAGGUGUAGCGGUGAAAUGCGUAGAUAUCUGGAGGAACACCGGUGGCGAAGGCGGCAUCCUGGACCGGUAUUGACGCUGAGGCGCGAAAGCCAGGGGAGCAAACGGGAUUAGAUACCCCGGUAGUCCUGGCCCUAAACGAUGAAUGCUUGGUGUGGCGGGUAUCGAUCCCUGCCGUGCCGAAGCUAACGCAUUAAGCAUUCCGCCUGGGGAGUACGGUCGCAAGGCUGAA
rnacentral:rRNA from 1 species